CAAAGCAUGGAAAUGUCUUUCACAAGGGGAAAAAGAAGGAUUUCUGGUAAUGCCAAAAGCCUACCAGGUAUUUGGUUAAUGCAGAACUUCAGUGACUAAUUAAUUGGCAACUGAAGCCAGAGACCUCUGCUAAAGAGCACAAGGUGUAAGAAUUUCUUGUGGCCCUUCUCUCCCCUCCAUAACUGUUACCUGUUUAUUCCUCCAACCACCUGACUCCAGGCUGGAGAGAAGGAAGGAAGGAGGUAAUGCUGAGGGCUACGAGGGGGCACCAACGUGCUUCCCAAAAGGCAUGGGAGUUGGUACUAUCUGAGCAGGUGUCCUUCGGCUGCUGCUGGUGCAGGAUGAUCUUAAGAGGGGUGGAAGCCCAUCACCUUUAACUCAAGGAACAGCCCUACGAAACAGAUCUUACAGAUGAAGAAAAAAAAAAAGCCCAGAGGAAGGUGAAGCAAUGUGCUCAAGUUCACUACAGCAGGAGGCAGGGAGCCAUGGCCUGAACCCACGGCCUGGCACUCUGCACUCUUCACCACUCCUCUAGCCUGCCCACCAGAGCAGCAGGGGCAAGAUCCCCAGGACAGCCACUGCAGGGCCAGAGAGAGGUAAAAACCCUGACUCCACUGCUUAUUAGCUAUAUGACCUUGAGCAAGCAUAUUGCUUCUUUUAAGCUUCAGAUUCUUUAGUAAAAUUGGUACCCACCCCAUAGGUUUAGGAUAAAGAUUAAAUUGGGAGAAAAACAGUGGUUAUUUUGGUAUGUAUGGGGGACUGGUUCCAGAACCCACUGCAGACACCAAAACCUACAGAUUCUGAAGUCUUUCAAAUAAAAUGGCAUAACAUUUACCUGUAACCUAUACACAUCCUCCUCUAUACUAUAAAUCAUGUCUGAAUGACCUGUAUUUCCUAAAAUAAUGUACAUGCUACGUGAAUAGUCCUAUUAUACUGUUUAGGGAAUAACGACAAGAUAAACACCUACUUGUGUUCAGUA